rnacentral:rRNA from 1 species
UUCUGUUUACUGCUGGCGGCUUCCUAACACAUGCAAGUCGAGCGGCAGCGGGUCCUUCGGGAUGCCGGCGAGCGGCGGACGGGUGAGUAAUGCGUAGAAAUCUGCCCUUUUGUGGAGGAUAACCCGGGGAAACUCGGACUAAUACUGCAUAAUCUCUACGGAGCAAAGCGGGGGAUCUUCGGACCUCGCGCAGAAGGAUGAGUCUACGUCUGAUUAGCUAGUUGGUGCGGUAACGGCGUACCAAGGCGACGAUCAGUAGCUGGUCCGAGAGGAUGAUCAGCCACACCGGGACUGAGACACGGCCCGGACUCCUACGGGAGGCAGCAGUGGGGAAUAUUGGACAAUGGGCGAAAGCCUGAUCCAGCCAUGCCGCGUGUGUGAAGAAGGCCCUAGGGUUGUAAAGCACUUUAAGCAGGAAAGAAAAGCGCCGGGUUAAUAACCCGAGCAUAUUGACGGUACCUGCAGAAUAAGCACCGGCUAACUCCGUGCCAGCAGCCGCGGUAAUACGGAGGGUGCAAGCGUUAAUCGGAAUUCUGGGCGUAAAGCGAGUGCAGGCGGUCGCGUGUGUCGGAUGUGAAAGCCCCGGCUUAACCUGGGAAUUGAUUCAAACUGCGUGACUAGAAUGUGGUAGAGGAAGACGGAAUUCACGUGUACGGUGAAAUGCGUAAUAUGUGGAGGACACAAUGGCAAAGCAGUCUUUUGGGCCAUUUGACGUGAGGUUCGAAGCGUGGUAGCAACAGAUUAAUCCCUGUGUCACCC